rnacentral:rRNA from 1 species
GAUGAACGCUGGCGGCGUGCCUAAUACAUGCAAGUCGAGCGAACGGACGAGAAGCUUGCUUUUCUGAUGUUAGCGGCGGACGGGUGAGUAACACGUGGAUAACCUACCUAUAAGACUGGGAUAACUUCGGGAAACCGGAGCUAAUACCGGAUAAUAUUUUGAACCGCAUGGUUCAAAAGUGAAAGACGGUCUUGCUGUCACUUAUAGAUGGAUCCGCGCUGCAUUAGCUAGUUGGUAAGGUAACGGCUUACCAAGGCAACGAUGCAUAGCCGACCUGAGAGGGUGAUCGGCCACACUGGAACUGAGACACGGUCCAGACUCCUACGGGAGGCAGCAGUAGGGAAUCUUCCGCAAUGGGCGAAAGCCUGACGGAGCAACGCCGCGUGAGUGAUGAAGGUCUUCGGAUCGUAAAACUCUGUUAUUAGGGAAGAACAUAUGUGUAAGUAACUGUGCACAUCUUGACGGUACCUAAUCAGAAAGCCACGGCUAAUUACGUGCCAGCAGCCGCGGUAAUACGUAGGUGGCAAGCGUUAUCCGGAAUUAUUGGGCGUAAAGCGCGCGUAGGCGGUUUUUUAAGUCUGACGUGAAAGCCCACGGCUCAACCGUGGAGGGUCAUUGGAAACUGGAAAACUUGAGUGCAGAAGAGGAAAGUGGAAUUCCAUGUGUAGCGGUGAAAUGCGCAGAGAUAUGGAGGAACACCAGUGGCGAAGGCGACUUUCUGGUCUGUAACUGACGCUGAUGUGCGAAAGCGUGGGGAUCAAACAGGAUUAGAUACCCUGGUAGUCCACGCCGUAAACGAUGAGUGCUAAGUGUUAGGGGGUUUCCGCCCCUUAGUGCUGCAGCUAACGCAUUAAGCACUCCGCCUGGGGAGUACGACCGCAAGGUUGAAACUCAAAGGAAUUGACGGGGACCCGCACAAGCGGUGGAGCAUGUGGUUUAAUUCGAAGCAACGCGAAGAACCUUACCAAAUCUUGACAUCCUUUGACAACUCUAGAGAUAGAGCCUUCCCCUUCGGGGGACAAAGUGACAGGUGGUGCAUGGUUGUCGUCAGCUCGUGUCGUGAGAUGUUGGGUUAAGUCCCGCAACGAGCGCAACCCUUAAGCUUAGUUGCCAUCAUUAAGUUGGGCACUCUAAGUUGGCUGCCGGUGACAAACCGGAGGAAGGUGGGGAUGACGUCAAAUCAUCAUGCCCCUUAUGAUUUGGGCUACACACGUGCUACAAUGGACAAUACAAAGGGCAGCGAAACCGCGAGGUCAAGCAAAUCCCAUAAAGUUGUUCUCAGUUCGGAUUGUAGUCUGCAACUCGACUACAUGAAGCUGGAAUCGCUAGUAAUCGUAGAUCAGCAUGCUACGGUGAAUACGUUCCCGGGUCU